CCUACGGGAGGCAGCAGUAGGGAAUAUUGCACAAUGGGGGAAACCCUGAAGCAGCAACGCCGCGUGGAGGAUGUAGGUUUUAGGAUUGUAAACUCCUUUUGGGAGAGAAGAUAAUGACGGUAUCACACGAAUAAGCACCGGAUAAGUCCGUGCCAGCAGCCGCGGUAAUAAGGAGGGUGCAAGCGUUAAUCGGAAUCAGUGUGCGUCAAGAGUGGGCAGGCAGGCUUGUAUGUCAGAUGUGAAAUCCUGUAGUUUAACUACAGAACUGCAUUGGAAACUAUGAGUCUAGAGUGUGGGAGAGGUAGGUGGAAUUCUUGGUGUAGGGGUAAAAGCCGUAGAUAUCAAGAGGAAUACUCAUUGCGAAGGCGACCUACUGGAACAUUACUGACGCUCAUGCACGAAAGCGUGGGGAGCAAACAGGAUUAGAUACCCCUGUAGUC
rnacentral:rRNA from 1 species